UCUUCUGAGAGCUGAAAUAAUUGGAUGUUAGAGCUCAUGGAAACACAAAAAGACAAGAAUAAGAGUCGGAGGAUGUGAAGAACAAACUUUUGGUGCGAUGUAAACACUAGAUGACACUUGUUGAUGGAGGGCAGCAGAUUCUGGAUUUAGAAGAAAACCUUUAUCGAGUCCCACCGCCCUUGAAACGGAUGACAUCGAUUGGACAGCCAGAAGAUUCCCGACCCCUCCUGCCCUGGAGGACGAUCAAUGGACCCGCGGGCCGCUCCCGGAACAUCAGCAGAGGAUUAAACAAUCUCCCAGCACAACACAAUUAACUCCACAACACCUCACAUCAAUAUUUAAGAGCAAACUACAGAUAGCACAGAGAAAAAAAAUGCUUCGAAUUUUGUAUAUCGCAUGGCAAUAUUAAAGCAAUAGUUCACCCAAAAAUUACAAUUUGCUGGAAAUCUGCUCACUAUCAGGCCAUCCAAGAUGUAGAUGAGUUUGUUUCUUCAUCAGAACAGAUUUGGAUCCAUUGAAGUGAAUAGGUGCCGUCAGAAUCUGAAUGUUUAAACAUUCAGAUGUCACCCCCUUUCUAAUCAUUAACUUUCAUAUUUAACUGUAGUUUAAUUACACAUUUUUUUCUCAGUAACUGUGACUACAAUUACAUUUUUUUUUAAUUAAAUUAAGUAACUCUGUUACAUGUAACUAGUUACUCCCAACACUGAGUAUAAUGUAAAAAUAGUGUUGAUAGACUGUUACAUCUAUCAUUUUACAAGAUUGAGAACAGCAAAAAACGUACAAAUAACAGCAAAGAGUGUGUCUGUGUGAGCUGGUCUUGAUCUGUGGUGUGUGUGUAAACGCCGGCAGGUUUAAACAAAGGUAAAAUUGAGAAAAAACGCUUUUGACAGAUCAGAAAGAGAACCCCCUUUGUUUUCCACCAGGAUCAAAUGAGUGCUCUUGAAAGACCAGCAGACUGUGUUUUAUUAAGUAGGGCUCCAGAGCAGCACUGCUUCUCUCCAAAGUGCUAUUCUCUCCUAAUAGAGAACUGAAAGCCGCUGCGACCUCUAAGUUAACCUCCGCUGAGACAUAGCGCUCCACAGAUGCUCCCAGAAUGGAUAUUUCACCUUGUUGUUUACCCCUUUGCAGAUUUACAGUACAUGGACUGUGUGUGUGCAGUCACCUAUAACCUCUACUGCGAACAUGCGUUUGGUUGGCGAGAUGUUUGUCUGUGAAUGUCGACAGGUUUUGCUAUUCUUUUGGGGUUUGCUUAAGGAUAUAGAAACAGUAUUGAGUGUUAGUAAAUUCUCAGAGCUUAACUGCGGUUUUUGGUUU
ensembl:lncRNA